ACCUUCGGGCCUCUUGCCAUCAGAUGUGCCCAGAUGGGAUUAGCUUGUUGGUGAGGUAACGGCUCACCAAGGCGACGAUCCCUAGCUGGUCUGAGAGGAUGACCAGCCACACUGGAACUGAGACACGGUCCAGACUCCUACGGGAGGCAGCAGUGGGGAAUAUUGCACAAUGGGCGCAAGCCUGAUGCAGCCAUGCCGCGUGUAUGAAGAAGGCCUUCGGGUUGUAAAGUACUUUCAGCGGGGAGGAAGGUGUUGUGGUUAAUAACCGCAGCAAUUGACGUUACCCGCAGAAGAAGCACCGGCUAACUCCGUGCCAGCAGCCGCGGUAAUACGGAGGGUGCAAGCGUUAAUCGGAAUUACUGGGCGUAAAGCGCACGCAGGCGGUCUGUCAAGUCGGAUGUGAAAUCCCCGGGCUCAACCUGGGAACUGCAUUCGAAACUGGCAGGCUUGAGUCUUGUAGAGGGGGGUAGAAUUCCAG
rnacentral:rRNA from 2 species